rnacentral:rRNA from 1 species
AGUGAACGCUGGCGGUAGGCCUAACACAUGCAAGUCGAACGGCAGCACAGUAAGAGCUUGCUCUUACGGGUGGCGAGUGGCGGACGGGUGAGGAAUACAUCGGAAUCUACUUUUUCGUGGGGGAUAACGUAGGGAAACUUACGCUAAUACCGCAUACGACCUACGGGUGAAAGCAGGGGAUCUUCGGACCUUGCGCGAUUGAAUGAACCGAUGUCGGAUUAGUUAGUUGGCGGGGUAAAGGCCCACCAAGGCGACGAUCCGUAGCUGGUCUGAGAGGAUGAUCAGCCACACUGGAACUGAGACACGGUCCAGACUCCUACGGGAGGCAGCAGUGGGGAAUAUUGGACAAUGGGCGCAAGCCUGAUCCAGCCAUACCGCGUGGGUGAAGAAGGCCUUCGGGUUGUAAAGCCCUUUUGUUGGGAAAGAAAAGCAGCAGGUUAAUACCCCGCUGUUCUGACGGUACCCAAAGAAUAAGCACCGGCUAACUUCGUG